rnacentral:ncRNA from 1 species
UGUCGAGAAGGGCAAACCUGUCGAAAGGCAGGGGCGCAAAGCCAUGGGCCUGUCGGAAGAAAAUCUUCCUAUGGUCGCCAGGCUGCCGAA